UACGUAGGGUGCAAGCGUUGUCCGGAAUUAUUGGGCGUAAAGAGCUCGUAGGCGGUUUGUUACGUCGGCUGUGAAAACCUGGGGCUCAACCCCGGGCCUGCAGCCGAUACGGGCAAACUAGAAUUCGGUAGGGGAGACUGGAAUUCCUGGUGUAGCGGUGAAAUGCGCAGAUAUCAGGAGGAACACCGGUGGCGAAGGCGGGUCUCUGGGCCGAUAUUGACGCUGAGGAGCGAAAGCGUGGGGAGCGAACAGG
rnacentral:rRNA from 1 species